AUGGAAGAAAGUUCAGGAAACAUGGCGGCAAAGUGCAGAGCCAUGACCCCCCAUCAUCAUCAUCCUGGUAUCUGCUGGGGUCAUUUCCCUCCUUCCUUCUCUUCUCCUUCCUUCUUUCCUAGCUUGGCUUCCAUCCUCCCUCCCUCCUCCCUUCUUUCCUCCCAUCCAUCCUUAAUUCUGUCUUCUUUCAUCCUCCCAUGCUCCCUCCCACCUUCCCUCCUCUUCUUCCCCUUCUUUCUUUCUCUUCUUCCUUCCAUCCUCCCUCCCUCCUUCCUUCUCCUUCCUUCUUUCCUAGCUUCCAUCCAUCUUCCCUCCUUCUCCCUUCUUUCCUCCCAUCCAUCUUUAAUUCUGUCUUUUCUUUUAUCCUCCCUUGUUCCCUCCCACCUUCCCUCUUCUUCCCCUUCUUUCUUUACUUCCUUCCAUCCUCCCUCCCUCCUUCCUUCUCCUUCCUUCUUUCCUAGCUUCCAUCCAUCUUCCCUCCUUCUCCCUUCUUUCCUCCCAUCCAUCUUUAAUUCUGUCUUCUUUUCUUUCAUCCUCCCAUGCUCCCUCCCACCUUCCCUCCUCUUCUUCCCCUUCUUUCUUUCUCUACUUUCUUCCAUCCUCCCUCCCUCCUUCCCCUCUCCCAAAAGCAAAGGCCCCAUUAAUCCUUUCUAGACUGCAAUAAUCUCAUCCUUCAAAAGGCAGAGGAAACAAGGGGAAACCAGGAGGAAAUAGCUGUUGGGGUGGAAAUCCGGGAAUGCUGCCUGCGAGAGGUCGGAGCCAAGAAGGAAAGGGAAGCCCGAAACCCCCAGAAAUGCAGCCUGGAUUUCAAAGGGCUUCAGGGGGGAAGGAAGGGAAGCUGCAGGUCUGAAGAGCCUCCUCUGUGCCAGGCAUUGCCAAGUGGCUCACCAGCUGAUCUCCUGACCUUCAAGGCCUUCCGACUCAGGGGUGGCCUGACUUGCUCGCUCCACCUACAAACCAGGCAUCCUUUCCACUCAACCAAGGGCUCAGGGAGAAGGCAGUUGGAUCCCAUUGACUUGAAUUCUGCUGGGGCUGAGCGCAGGGGGAAGAGAGAGGCUCCAAAGUGAGUUCUGACACCACAAAAGGCCACCACUGGGAUGAGGAGGGAAAGCAGGAUCUGUGCUGCUGUGGAUGCAAGGGGACUCACCAAGGCCCAUCUGUGUCCCCUACACCCCUCCUCUCCUCACCCCUGGACUGUGGCCGUGGCUGCUGGGGGUCCUCCUGCCUCCAGGCUCUGCCCCUGAAGAGACUGCACUCCAGGCAGGUGACACCACGUACCCCUUCUCAGGAACCUGCCCUGGCUCCCCAGUGCCUGUCCUCCAGGAGCAGACAAAAUGCUGGCUGGGCUUCAAAGCCCUCCAGACCUUGCACCCCCCCCCAGCCCACCUCUGCAGUGUUCCUACCCCCCACCUCAGCAUCGCUGGCUUCCGUCUGCCUCCUCUGCCUUUGCUCAGGCUGCCCCUCUUGCCGGGAACACUCCUCCUCCUCUCUCCUUCCACUCAGAAGCCAGAGUUUCCCUUAAGACACAACUCAGGGCCCCCUUUCUAGCCUCCCCUCCCCCCGGACUCUUGUCUUCAUCUUGUCUACAUUGUCCCCACGCAGAUCAGCGUCCCCCAAGAGCCUGAGGGCAGGCGCCGGCCUGUUUCCCUCCUUU
ensembl:lncRNA